GCAUUACAAUGGAGACAAUACAGUCCCAGAAGGUAAGGGCAUUACAAUGGAGACAAUACAGUCCCAGAAGGUAAGGGCAUUACAAUGGAGACAAUACAGUCCCAGAAGGUAAGGGCAUUACAAUGGAGACAAUACAGUCCCAGAAGGUAAGGGCAUUACAAUGGAGACAAUACAGUCCCAGAAGGUAAGGGCAUUACAAUGGAGACAAUACAGUCCCAGAAGGUAAGGGCAUUACAAUGGAGACAAUACAGUCCCAGAAGGUAAGGGCAUUACAAUGGAGACAAUACAGUCCCAGAAGGUAAGGGCAUUACAAUGGAGACAAUACAGUCCCAGAAGGUAAGGGCAUUACAAUGGAGACAAGACAAUAGACCGAGAAGAUAAGGGCAUUACAAUGGAGACAAUACAGUCCCAGAAGGUAAGGGCAUUACAAUGGAGACAAGACAAUAGACUGAGAAGAUAAGGGCAUUACAAUGGAGACAAGACAAUAGACCGAGAAGAUAAGGGCAUUACAAUGGAGACAAGACAAUAGACCGAGAAGAUAAGGGCAUUAUAAUGGAGACAAGACAAUAGACCGAGAAGAUAAGGGCAUUACAAUGGAGACAAUACAGUCCCAGAAGGUAAGGGCAUUACAAUGGAGACAAUAAAGCCCCAGAAGGUAAGGGCAUUACAAUGGAGACAAUACAGUCCCAGAAGGUAAGGGCAUUACAAUGGAGACAAGACAAUAGACCGAGAAGAUAAGGGCAUUACAAUGGAGACAAGACAAUAGACCGAGAAGAUAAGGGCAUUACAAUGGAGACAAUACAGUAGACCCAGAAGGUAAGGGCAUUACAAUGGAGACAAUACAGUCCCAGAAGGUAAGGGCAUUACAAUGGAGACAAUACAGUCCCAGAAGGUAAGGGCAUUACAAUGGAGACAAUAAAGCCCCAGAAGGUAAGGGCAUUACAAUGGAGACAAUACAGUCCCAGAAGGUAAGGGCAUUACAAUGGAGACAAUAAAGCCCCAGAAGGUAAGGGCAUUACAAUGGAGACAAUAAAGCCCCAGAAGGUAAGGGCAUUACAAUGGAGACAAUAAAGCCCCAGAAGGUAAGGGCAUUACAAUGGAGACAAUAAAGCCCCAGAAGGUAAGGGCAUUACAAUGGAGACAAUAAAGCCCCAGAAGGUAAGGGCAUUACAAUGGAGACAAUAAAGCCCCCAGAAGGUAAGGGCAUUACAAUGGAGACAAUAAAGCCCCAGAAGGUAAGGGCAUUACAAUGGAGACAAUAAAGCCCCAGAAGGUAAGGGCAUUACAAUGGAGACAAUAAAGCCCCAGAAGGUAAGGGCAUUAUAAUGGAGACAAUAAAGCCCCAGAAGGUAAGGGCAUUACAAUGGAGACAAUAAAGCCCCAGAAGGUAAGGGCAUUACAAUGGAGACAAUAAAGCCCCAGAAGGUAAGGGCAUUACAAUGGAGACAAUAAAGCCCCAGAAGGUAAGGGCAUUACAAUGGAGACAAUAAAGCCCCAGAAGGUAAGGGCAUUACAAUGGAGACAAUACAGUCCCAGAAGGUAAGGGCAUUACAAUGGAGACAAGACAAUAGACCGAGAAGAUAAGGGCAUUACAAUGGAGACAAGACAAUAGACCGAGAAGAUAAGGGCAUUA